UAGAGGAAGUAAAAGUCGUAACAAGGUCUCCGUUGGUGAACCAGCGGAGGGAUCAUUACCGAGUUUACAACUCCCAAACCCCUGUGAACAUACCUUAAUGUUGCCUCGGCGGAUCAGCCCGCGCCCUGUAAAACGGGACGGCCCGCCAGAGGACCCAAACUCUAAUGUUUCUUAUUGUAACUUCUGAGUAAAACAAACAAAUAAAUCAAAACUUUCAACAACGGAUCUCUUGGUUCUGGCAUCGAUGAAGAACGCAGCAAAAUGCGAUAAGUAAUGUGAAUUGCAGAAUUCAGUGAAUCAUCGAAUCUUUGAACGCACAUUGCGCCCGCUGGUAUUCCGGCGGGCAUGCCUGUUCGAGCGUCAUUUCAACCCUCAAGCCCCCGGGUUUGGUGUUGGGGAUCGGCUCUGCCUUACGGCGGUGCCGCCCCCGAAAUACAUUGGCGGUCUCGCUGCAGCCUCCAUUGCGUAGUAGCUAACACCUCGCAACUGGAACGCGGCGCGGCCAUGCCGUAAAACCCCAACUUCUGAAUGUUGACCUCGGAUCAGGUAGGAAUACCCGCUGAACUUAAGCAUA
rnacentral:rRNA from 1 species